UAAUAGUUGGUGUAAAGGCACCUAUCAUUUUGAUUGAUGAGGAAGUAGUGUAAAUCUAUUACUAUUAA
rnacentral:tRNA from 1 species